GACGAACGCUGGCGGCGUGCUUAACACAUGCAAGUCGAACGGAAAGGCCCUGCUUUUGUGGGGUGCUCGAGUGGCGAACGGGUGAGUAACACGUGAGUAACCUGCCCUUGACUUUGGGAUAACUUCAGGAAACUGGGGCUAAUACCGGAUAGGAGCUCCUGCUGCAUGGUGGGGGUUGGAAAGUUUCGGCGGUUGGGGAUGGACUCGCGGCUUAUCAGCUUGUUGGGGGGGUAGUGGCUUACCAAGGCUUUGACGGGUAGCCGGCCUGAGAGGGUGACCGGCCACAUGGGGACUGAGAGACGGCCCAGACUGCUACGGGAGGCAGCAGUGGGGAAUAUUGCACAAUGGGCGGAAGCCUGAUGCAGCAACGCCGCGUGCGGGAUGACGGCCUUCGGGUUGUAAACCGCUUUCGCCUGUGACGAAGCGUGAGUGACGGUAAUGGGUAAAGAAGCACCGGCUAACUACGUG
rnacentral:rRNA from 1 species